CCCCAAUGAUGAGUUGCCAUGCUAAUACCGAGUCACCAGGCAGGGUAAUAUUGCUCUGGGCUGGGUGCCAGUGAGUGUUAACAACACUUCUCACCUGAAGACCUGAGGGGU